CUUUCUUCUUCUCUGCUUAUUCUUACCACAAUUUCCUUCAUCCACCGAGUCACCACCAGCCAAUUAUCCCGAAAUAGAGCCCAACUCAUUGAGUCUACUCGACACAACCUUGAAUGGAUGAUUUACUCCAUUGCUUCCUCCGGUCUUUCUUCCUCUUCUUCAUCGCCAAGCUGUCUUCGAAGGCGUCGAUGAUCUCAUGAAUGAGUUUGCGAUUAGGUGACGAGUCCCACCUAAUCCAGUAACUGGUGUAUCAGCUGAAGCAAUCAUAGAGGAAAAAAGAAAAGUGAUGAUCAUCUUCUUUGGGUUUUUCUUUCUUGAGGCAAGAGAUACGACUUGGGUCUCUGGAACUCGAGAUAAGGUGAAUACUGGCGCAAUAUGAAAACAACAUUGCUUUAGAACUUUCUCCUGUAAAAGCUGAGACAAGGAUUGCUUACUGGACAAGAUCGUUGAUGACAGAGGAAAGGUCAUCGUACAUGUGUACACCCUUCUACCCAAUCCUUAGUUCUUUAUAAAUCAAUGUAUGUUCCUUUCUCUUUGCUAAUAAAAUAAUGUGCAGGGGAAAUUAUAAGAACCCCAAGUUUUGGUCGAGGCAAAAUAAUCUGCAAUUAUGAGCCAUGUGUUCAAGUCCUCUGUUUUUGUUAUAUAGCCUCUGUUUUUUGGAUUCGAAAGCUAGAAAUUCCUUUGUUUUUGUUAGUGCCAAGGCUAUUAUAAGUAUGAUCCGACAUAAGUAUGCAAUAUCCAUUUAUAAAAUUCAUGUAUAAACACUACUUCAUAUAUUAUAAUAAUUCAAUUUGGCCA